CAGCAGCCACGGUAAUACGAAGGGGGCAAGCGUUGUCCGGAAUUAUUGGGCGUAAAGGGCUCGCAGGCGGUUUCUUAAGUCUGAUGUGAAAGCCCCCGGCUCAACCGGGGAGGGUCAUUGGAAACUGGGAAACUUGAGUGCAGAAGAGGAGAGUGGAAUUCCACGUGUAGCGGUGAAAUGCGUAGAGAUGUGGAGGAACACCAGUGGCGAAGGCGACUCUCUGGUCUGUAACUGACGCUGAGGAGCGAAAGCGUGGGGAGCGAACAGGAUUAGAUACCCCUGUAGUCCCUGUCUCUUAUAC
rnacentral:rRNA from 1 species